CCUUGGCUGGCACUCAAUACUUUAAUUUUGAUCAUAUCUUCUGUAAGUUCUGAGGAGUAUUCUAGAUCUUUGUUCCAGUCCCCCGCACUACACAUUUUUGCCACUGGUUUUUACAGUUGCUGAUUUUUUAAGAUUUCAUCACAUUGAUCUGUUUGCCUGCUUUUCCUUAUUGCAUAUCUGAUCUCCCUUUCAGGAUGAUUUUCGUUUCUAAUGAAGUGUGUCUUUUGGCAGUUCCUUUGGUGAUGUGCCAUUCGUACUUUCUCCUUUUU